rnacentral:lncRNA from 1 species
CCUCCCCCCACCCUUCCCCUUUGGUAACCAUAGGUUUGUUUUCUAUGUCUGUGAGUCCGUUUCUGUUUUGUAAAUAAGUUUAUUUGUAUCAUUUUUUAGAUUCCACAUAUAAGUGAAAUGAUACGGUAUUUACCUUUCUCUGCCUGACUUACUUCACUUAAUAUAAUAACUUCUAGGUCCAUCCAUGCUGUUGCAAAUGACGUUAUCUCAUCCUUUGACAACUCCAUUUUUUUUUUUUUUUUUUUUUUUUUUUUUUUUUGGUUUUUAGGGCCUCACCUGUGGCACGUGGAAGUUCCCAGGCUAGGGGUCAAAUCGGAGCUGUAGCUGCCGGCCUGUGCCACCACCACCACCACAGCAACACCAGAUCCAAGCCUUUUCUGCAACCUGUACCACAGCUCAUGGCAACGCUGGAUCCUUAACCCACUGAGUGAGGCCAGGGAUCGAACCCGCAUCCUCAUUUUCAUUACCUCGUUACCACAGAGCCACAGUGGGAACUUCUGACAUCGCUAUUUUAAAGACAUUUACACAACAAAUCAAAAUCACCCUUGAAGACUCUUAUCUGUUUUUUGCUUUUUUGUGUUUUUUUGUCUUUUUGCUAUUUCUUGGGCCGCUCCCACGGCAUAUGGAGGUUCCCAGGCUAGGGGUCCAAUCAGAGCUGUAGCCACCAGCCUACGCCAGAGCCACAGCAACACAGGAUCCGAGCUGCGUCUGCAACCUACACCACAGGUCACGGCAACGCCAGAUCGUUAACCCACUGAGCAAGGGCAGGGAUCGGACCCGAAACCUUAUGGUUCCUAGUCGGAUUCGUUAACCACUGCUCCACGACGGGAACUCCCACUCUUAUCUGUUUUAAUGUUUCUCUUUGUGCAUGCUUAUUCCGGCACCUGGUAUGCUUUCUCUUCCACUCUGGAUUUCUCUUCUGUUACAGGCCCAGCUCAUUUGGUACCUUCUCUAUGAGGCUUCCCUUUCUCUCUAGACAGAACUCAUUGCUACUUCCUUUCUCCUCCCACAUUCUCUUAUUUUUUAUUUUUUUGUCUUUUUGCCUUUUCUAGGGCCGCUUCACAGCACAUGGAGGUUCCCAGGCUAGGAGUCGAAUUGGAGCUGCAGCCACCGGCCUACGCCAGAGCCACAGCAACUCGGGAUCCGAGCCACAUCUGUGGCCUACACCACAGCUCAUGACACAGCUUAACCCACUGAGCAAGGCCAGGGAUCGAACCCACAACCUCAUGGUUCCUAGUCAGAUUCGUUAACCACUGAGUCACGAUGGGAACGCCCUCCCACAAUUCUUUGUUCACAUCUUUACAAAAGUUUUUUUUUUUUUUCUUCUAGGAAUUCUCUUUGGCAUGGGUUCAAUCCCUGGUGCAAGAACUUCCACAUGCCCUGGGUGCAAAAAAAAAAAAAAAAAAAAAAAAAA